UACGGAGGGUGCAAGCGUUAUCCGGAUUCACUGGGUUUAAAGGGCUCGUAGGCGGCCAACUAAGUCAGACGUGAAAUCCCUCGGCUUAACCGGGGAACUGCAUCUGAUACUGGAUGGCUUGAGUUCGGGAGAGGGAUGUGGAAUUCCAGGUGUAGCGGUGAAAUGCGUAGAUAUCAGGAGGAACACCGGUGGCGAAGGCGGUGAUCUGGGCCGACACUGACGCUGUAGAGCGAAAGCGUGGGGAGCGAACAGG
rnacentral:rRNA from 1 species